rnacentral:rRNA from 1 species
AGGGUUCGAUUCUGGCUCAGGAUGAACGCUAGCGGCAGGCUUAACACAUGCAAGUCGAGGGGCAGCGGGAUGUAGCAAUACAUUGCCGGCGACCGGCGGAUGGGUGCGUAACGCGUAUGCAACCUACCUUAUACAGGGGAAUAACCUUUCGAAAGGGAGACUAACACCCCAUAGUAUUGAUUUAAGGCAUCUUAGAUUAAUUAAAUAUUUAUAGGUAUAAGAUGGGCAUGCGUAUGAUUAGCUAGUUGGUAAGGUAACGGCUUACCAAGGCGACGAUCAUUAGGGGUUCUGAGAGGAAGGUCCCCACACUGGUACUGAGACACGGACCAGACUCCUACGGGAGGCAGCAGUGAGGAAUAUUGGUCAAUGGGCGCAAGCCUGAACCAGCCAUGCCGCGUGCAGGAAGACGGCCUUAUGGGUUGUAAACUGCUUUUACAUAAGACUAACCGUAUAUUUGCGAAUAUACCUGAAUGUAUUAUGAGAAUAAGGAUCGGCUAACUCCGUGCCAGCAGCCGC